rnacentral:rRNA from 1 species
UGGGGAAUUUUGGACAAUGGACGAAANUCUGAUCCAACCAUGCCGCGUGCGGGAAGAAGGCCUUCGGGUUGUAAACCGCUUUUGUCAGGGAAGAAAUCCUUUGAGCUAAUACCUCGGGGGGAUGACGGUACCUGAAGAAUAAGCACCGGCUAACUACGUGCCAGCAGCCGCGGUAAUACGUAGGGUGCAAGCGUUAAUCGGAAUUACUGGGCGUAAAGCGUGCGCAGGCGGUUAUGUAAGACAGAGGUGAAAUCCCCGGGCUCAACCUGGGAACUGCCUUUGUGACUGCAUAGCUUGAGUGCGGCAGAGGGGGAUGGAAUUCCGCGUGUAGCAGUGAAAUGCGUAGAUAUGCGGAGGAACACCGAUGGCGAAGGCAAUCCCCUGGGCCUGCACUGACGCUCAUGCACGAAAGCGUGGGGAGCAAACAGGAUUAGAUACCCUGGUAGUCCACGCCCUAAACGAUGUCAACUGGUUGUUGGGAAGGUUCCUUCUCAGUAACGUAGCUAACGCGUGAAGUUGACCGCCUGGGGAGUACGGCCGCAAGGUUG